GCGCGGGAACUGGCCGGGCUGGGCGCGCCGCGGUCCCGCGCCCACUUCCGCUUCCCGUGCGGGGGAUGGCGGCAGAGCCGGUGGGCUGCGGCGGCUCCAGGUACCUGCCUGAGCGUGGCACUGCGCAGUCUGCCCCCGGGUCGCAGGGGCGCUCCUGAGCUUCGCGGGGCCGCCUCUAGGGCUGCCUGCGCGGAGAGCCGACCGCGGCCGACGUCGGUGUUAAGUGGCCGCCCCGGCCGGCUACCCGGAGCCAAGAGCAGGCGGCGCAGCCUGAGCGGGACGUGGCCACGCUGGCGAGGCGGGACAGAUCCUCCCUCUGUUGC
rnacentral:lncRNA from 1 species